CCUACGGGAGGCAGCAGUGGGGAAUUUUGGACAAUGGGCGCAAGCCUGAUCCAGCCAUGCCGCGUGCGGGAAGAAGGCCUUCGGGUUGUAAACCGCUUUUGUCAGGGAAGAAAAGGUUCUGGUUAAUACCUGGGACUCAUGACGGUACCUGAAGAAUAGGCACCGGCUAACUACGUGCCAGCAGCCGCGGUAAUACGUAGGGUGCAAGCGUUAAUCGGAAUUACUGGGCGUAAAGCGUGCGCAGGCGGUUAUGCAAGACAGAUGUGAAAUCCCCGGGCUCAACCUGGGAACUGCAUUUGUGACUGCAUAGCUAGAGUACGGUAGAGGGGGAUGGAAUUCCGCGUGUAGCAGUGAAAUGCGUAGAUAUGCGGAGGAACACCGAUGGCGAAGGCAAUCCCCUGGACCUGUACUGACGCUCAUGCACGAAAGCGUGGGGAGCAAACAGGAUUAGAUACCCUGGUAGUCCACGCCCUAAACGAUGUCAACUGGUUGUUGGGAGGGUUUCUUCUCAGUAACGAAGCUAACGCGUGAAGUUGACCGCCUGGGGAGUACGGCCGCAAGGUUGAAACUUAAAUGAAUUGACG
rnacentral:rRNA from 1 species